GCUUGAGAUUGUAUUGACUGGACUUUAAACGCUACCUGCAUUGCUCCGAGUAAAUAUUUGAAUUUUUAAAACCAAAAUCUUGGUAAGGUUUAAUUUUGAAUUAAAGUUUUAAGAUAACAAAUGUUGAUGAAAUUCUGAACUCGCACUUUACGAGGAAACUGUAAAGAGAGUGUUUGACUCAAAGAUAGGAUGCAAAGAUGACCCCUCAAGCCACCGUGCUGGCUCUGCUGAAUGCCUGGAUUGUAUCAGUUUGGAAAUGCAGGUCUACAAAUAGGUUGCGUCGUGGGAGGUCUGUCGGAAUGACUACUCGCUGUCUGCUACCAGUACCUAUCUCUACUGUGAACACGGUUGCUGUGGCUAUACAUAUGAACAAUACUGCUGUGCUGAUAACAUUGGACUGAUAGUCGGCUGUGCGUUUGGUGGCCUCGUGUUUCUGGGUGUUGUGGCGGCGGUUGUGUUUUGCUGCAUACAGAAAAAUAAACAAAAGAGAACCGCAAUACGGCCGCUCAGGAGGAGACAUACUCCGGGGACGAUGGCAAUUAUAUCAAAUGGUAGUCAUUGUGAUCCUAAUUUCAAACACGUCCUAAAACCGCCACCGUAUACGAUGGAUCCGCCUCCGGCUUAUUCUGAGAUCGUACACGUAUCUGCGUAUUCAGCAUCCACGUCCUACAAGAACGAUGACGAAUACACAACAACAGCAGUAAUACACAACGAAAACCCGCCCCCUACCGGGACCUCUUUACGUCAUAAUGUGCCAUCAGUGACUCAGUGUUUUCCCCCUGGUGCUGUGGACACACAUUCGGGGCACUGUAGUAACUAUAGUCAUUAACUAUAGUUCAGAUUUCAAAUGCUGUGAUACUUUAUUUAUUUAUUCAAAUUUUAUAAACUGUAUAUACGUACAUACAUAUCUUUUGUAAGUUUCGUCCUUUAUCCGAUAACAUUUCCAAGGCCUUUACACAUAAAUCGUUUAGGUAAGUAGGGAAAUAAACAAAUUAUUUACGAUUCUGAAUUGUGUUAGUUGAAUAAUCAAAGUGAUAAGAAGUAUUUUAUUGGCAAUAUUAUGAGAUACACGAAGCUUUCUAGUAUCAAUAAAUUGAUGUCAUUUUAUAGCUAAUGUCAAUAUUAUGAAUACUGACAGAACAUUUUCUGAUGAGACUAGAAAAUUGUGAAAUGUUGUUAUUCAUUUAAAUUGUUCGUAUUUAUUGCAUGUGUAUACAUAAACCAGAAGGACCAGUAAUUUAGAAAUAUCAGUUUUGAAGUAUCUUC